GAAAUAAAUCAAUAAAAUGAAGUCCCUUUUUGAUUAUCUCUGAUUAUCAUUUACAACAUGGUAUCAGAGCAGAGUUUCUGAUCCGUGAAACAUCUUGCUCAUCUUCUACAAUCAAUCACAACCAAAACCAAAAUCAAACAUCAAACCGCCAUCACCAUUACCGGAAACUCCAUCUCCGGCCACAUAAACUUCCAGCCAGCCGCCACUAUUCCGGCGAACCAGUCAAAUCAACUCCGCGGCGCAUCAGAUCCGGCAGUCCUUCUAGAUGCACAACAUGCAGGAAACGUACAAGCAUGACUGCCUGUUUGACUACCGGGGUCACUGCAAAAGAUGCAAUAGCUAAAGCUAACCCUGUGGUGAAGGCGGAGUGCCUUAAAGAGGAAAAAAACCUUUAAAAAAAAUAAAAAAAAAACAAAAUCUUUUUGAAACAUA
rnacentral:lncRNA from 1 species